rnacentral:rRNA from 1 species
AACGAACGCUGGCGGCAUGCCUAACACAUGCGAGUCGAACGAGACCUUCGGGUCUAGUGGCGCACGGGUGCGUAACGCGUGGGAACCUGCCCUUAGGUUCGGAAUAACUCCCCGAAAGGGGUGCUAAUACCGGAUAAUGUCUUCGGACCAAAGAUUUAUCGCCUUUGGAUGGGCCCGCGUUGGAUUAGCUAGUUGGUAGGGUAAAAGCCUACCAAGGCGACGAUCCAUAGCUGGUCUGAGAGGAUGAUCAGCCACACUGGGACUGAGACACGGCCCAGACUCCUACGGGAGGCAGCAGUGGGGAAUAUUGGACAAUGGGCGAAAGCCUGAUCCAGCAAUGCCGCGUGAGUGAUGAAGGCCUUAGGGUUGUAAAGCUCUUUUACCCGGGAUGAUAAUGACAGUGCCGGGAGAAUAAGCUCCGGCUAACUCCGUG